GACGAACGCUGGCGGCGUGCUUAACACAUGCAAGUCGAACGCUGAAGCCUAGCUUGCUGGGUGGAUGAGUGGCGAACGGGUGAGUAACACGUGAGUAACCUGCCCCCUUCUUUGGGAUAACGCCCGGAAACGGGUGCUAAUACUGGAUAUUCACUGAUCUUCGCAUGGGGGUUGGUGGAAAGGUUUUUUCUGGUGGGGGAUGGGCUCGCGGCCUAUCAGCUUGUUGGUGGGGUGAUGGCCUACCAAGGCUUUGACGGGUAGCCGGCCUGAGAGGGUGACCGGUCACAUUGGGACUGAGAUACGGCCCAGACUCCUACGGGAGGCAGCAGUGGGGAAUAUUGCACAAUGGGCGAAAGCCUGAUGCAGCGACGCCGCGUGAGGGAUGGAGGCCUUCGGGUUGUAAACCUCUUUCGCUCAUGGUCAAGCCGCGACUUUGGGUUGUGGUGAGGGUAGUGGGUAAAGAAGCGCCGGCUAACUACGUGCCAGCAGCCGCGGUAAUACGUAGGGCGCGAGCGUUGUCCGGAAUUAUUGGGCGUAAAGGGCUUGUAGGCGGUUGGUCGCGUCUGCCGUGAAAUCCUCUGGCUUAACUGGGGGCGUGCGGUGGGUACGGGCUGACUUGAGUGCGGUAGGGGAGACUGGAACUCCUGGUGUAGCGGUGGAAUGCGCAGAUAUCAGGAAGAACACCGGUGGCGAAGGCGGGUCUCUGGGCCGUUACUGACGCUGAGGAGCGAAAGCGUGGGGAGCGAACAGG
rnacentral:rRNA from 2 species